rnacentral:rRNA from 1 species
UUGGCGUGCUCGGAGGUUUCGACCAAAAGGCAUGUUUGAUUAUGUUUUCUGGCUAGUCUAAUAGCUGUGUCUAUGCAUAACCUCGGUUGUGUUUAGGCAGAGGUAGAGUGUUGAGGAGAUCCUUGUGGUUGAAUCGCCUCUGCUUCUGUGUGCUAGAGUAUUCUUUAUUGGGUGCUUUGGUACGGACAGCGCGUUUACUUUGAACAAAUUUGAGUGCUCAAAGCAGGCCUUGUGCCUAAAAAUUCUAGCAUGGAAUAAUGAAAUAGGACUUCGGUCCUAUUUUGUUGGUUUAACAGAACCGAAGUAAUGAUAAACAGAGACAGCCGGGGGCAUUUGUAUGGCAGCGCGAGAGGUGAAAUUCGUAGACCGUUGCCAGACAAUCUAAAGCGAAAGCAUCUGCCAAGUAUGUUUUCAUUUACCAGGAGCGAAAGUCAGAGGUUCGAAGACGAUCAGAUACCGUCCUAGUUCUGACCAUAAACGAUGCCAUCUGAUAUUUCGUGGUGUCUCCUUUGGGAGCCCACGAGCAAUCCCCGGAAAACCUCUAAGUCUUUGGGUUCCGGGGAAAGUAUGGUUGCAAUGCUGAAACUUAAAGGAAUUGACGGAAGGGCACCACCAGGAGUGGAGCUUGCGGCUUAAUUUGACUCAACACGGGAAAACUUACCCGGGCCGGACACUAUGAGGAUUGACAGAUAGAUUGCUCUUUCAUGAUUUGGUGGCUAGUGGUGCAUGGCCGUUCUUAGUUCGUGGUAUGAGCUGUCUGGUUAAUUCCGUUAACGAACGAGAUACUAUUCUGCUAAUUAGUCCGUGCGUAUUAUUGUGCGGGUGCUUUAAUCAUCUCGGUGGUUAUUGUCAUCUUCAUGAGCGUGCGUGACUUCUUAGAGAGAUCGGUGGAUAGCCAAACCACAUGAAAAAGUGCAAUAACAGGUCUGUGAUGCCCUUAGAUGUUCGGGGCCGCACGCGUGCUACACUGAUAGUGAGAGAAAGUCUGAUCCCUGUCUUGAAAAAGUUGGGUAAGCUUUUAAUUGCUGUCGUGUCUGGGAUCGGGAUUUGUGACUAUCUCCCGUGAACUAGGAAUUCCUAGUAAGCAGAAUUCAUCAGAUUCUGCUGAAUGCGUCCCUGCCCUUUGUACACACCGCCCGUCGCUACUACCGAUUGAAUGUUUUAGUGAGGACAAUGGAU